GAGCCAUAUCUCUAGCCCCUAACUGUACAGUUUAAAAUGGCUAGAGGAAAUGGAUGUGUGGCAC
rnacentral:miRNA from 1 species